GACAGAGGGUGCAAACGUUGUUCGGAUUUACUGGCGUAAAGCGUGUGUAGGCGGCUUGGCAAGUUGGAUGUGAAAGCCCACGGCUCAACCGUGGAAGCGCACCCAAAACUGCUUCGCUCGAGUCUCGGAGAGGGAAGGUGGAAUGCUUGGUGUGAGAGGUGAAAUUCGUAGAUAGUCAAGCAGAACACCUGCGGCGAAGGCG
rnacentral:rRNA from 1 species